rnacentral:rRNA from 1 species
UACCAGCACCCCGAGUGGUCGGGACGUUUAUUGGGCCUAAAGCAUCCGUAGCCGGUUCUACAAGUCUUCCGUUAAAUCCAACUGCUUAACAGGUGGGCUGCGGAAGAUACUAUAGAGCUAGGAGGCGGGAGAGGCAAGCGGUACUCGAUGGGUAGGGGUAAAAUCCGUUGAUCCAAUGAAGACCACCAGUGGCGAAGGCGGCUUGCCAGAACGCGCUCGACGGUGAGGGAUGAAAGCUGGGGGAGCAAACCGG